rnacentral:rRNA from 1 species
UACGUAGGGGGCUAGCGUUGUCCGGAAUCAUUGGGCGUAAAGCGCGUGUAGGCGGUCCGGUAAGUCCGCUGUGAAAGUCGGGGGCUCAACCCUCGGAUGCCGGUGGAUACUGUCGGGCUUGAGUACGGAAGAGGCGAGUGGAAUUCCUGGUGUAGCGGUGAAAUGCGUAGAGAUCCGGAGGAACACCAGAGGCGAAGGCGGCCUACUGGGCCAGUACUGACGCUGAGCCGCGAAAGCCAGGGGAGCGAACGGG